rnacentral:rRNA from 1 species
GACGGGGGCCCGCACAAGCGGUGGAGCAUGUGGUUUUAAUUUCGAAGCAACGCGAAGAACCUUACCUGGCCUUGACAUGCUGAGAACUUUCCAGAGAUGGAUUUGGUGCCUUCGGGAACUCGGACACAGGUGCUGCAUGGCUGUCGUCAGCUCGUGUCGUGGGAUGUUGGGUUAAGUCCCGUAACGAGCGCAACCCUUGUCCUUAGUUACCAGCACACAAUGGUGGGCACUCUAAGGAGACUGCCGGUGACAAACCGGAGGAAGGUGGGGAUGACGUCAAGUCAUCAUGGCCCUUACGGCCAGGGCUACACACGUGCUACAAUGGGGGGUACAAAGGGUUGCCAAGCCGCGAGGUGGAGCUAAUCCCAUAAAACCUCUCGUAGUCCGGAUCGGAGUCUGCAACUCGACUCCGUGAAGUCGGAAUCGCUAGUAAUCGUGGAUCAGAACGCCACGGUGAAUACGUUCCCGGGCCUU